rnacentral:tRNA from 1 species
CAGGAAAUAGUUUAAUAAAAAUAUUAAUUUUGGAGAUUAAAGUUAAGAGUUUUCUUUUUCCUGA